rnacentral:rRNA from 1 species
UACGUAGGGCGCAAGCGUUAUCCGGAAUUAUUGGGCGUAAAGAGCUCGUAGGCGGUUUGUCGCGUCUGCCGUGAAAGUCCGAGGCUCAACCUCGGGCCUGCAGUGGGUACGGGCAGACUAGAGUGCGGUAGGGGAGAUUGGAAUUCCUGGUGUAGCGGUGGAAUGCGCAGAUAUCAGGAGGAACACCGAUGGCGAAGGCAGAUCUCUGGGCCGUAACUGACGCUGAGGAGCGAAAGCAUGGGGAGCGAACAGG